GAGAACAUGUCAUAACACUGAUACAUUGAUAAUAUAAUAGCAUAUUGAAAUAUCCUAAAAUAUAGUUAACUGUCCUCUUCGUACAUGUUGACUGAACUUUAAUGCUUUUAUUGGUGGCUUGUUGUUACAAUUCAUUUGUGAAGUUUGACAUGUUUGUAUUUGAUUUGCUUAACCAGAGGCCCUACAUGUGGAGAGAGAGUGUUAUUUUACUGGAGUAGUUUACUUAGUUCUCUACUGCCUUUCUUUUUGUACUUUACUGCAAAUCUUUAGUCUAAUCUACUGCAUUUCUGUACUUCAUUCUACAGAGUGUCUGUACUCUACUGCGCCAUGUAAUUAUGAAAGAACAGUUUAGAUUAUACGAUUAUAUAUAAAAUCUGAAUCCUCUCCAGGUCAGUUCACAGCAGAAACAGACUCUUACUUCCUGUCUGAGGGUCCAGGUUCAUCUCUGAAGUCUGGAGGAUCCUCUUCAGACCGGUCACUCUUCAUAGACAGACAGCUGAAGACUGGAGACCCUGCUCUCUGAUU